UUUUUCUUUUUUUUUUUUUUUUGAGAAAACACAUUAAAACAAACUGAGUAUAUAUAUUCAGUUCAAAAAAAAUCAUAUGAUUUAAAAAGUAAAAAAAAAGAGAGUCAGACUAGAUUCACUGCUUGCAGCAGGCUACUUUCAACCACACACCUGGAAUGAUUUUCCUUUUCUGACGAAAAGUUUGAAGCCUAAGCUGUCAGGCAACACCGAAGACAAGAACCCCUUAAACAGGCUCUGAACCAAAAUCAGAUUUUCCAAGACUCUUCCAUGGCUGGGAGUUUUUGUCGGCUCUGAGCCGCUUAGAUUGCUAAUUCGAAUAUAAUUCACAUUGUCAAAAUGUUCUAGAGGGCUCCUGGAACACUGCUUUUCAGCAGUUCAGGUUUGCCAACGCAAUGGAUAAAGGACAACCCACAUCCUACUAACACAUCAGAUUUGCCCAUUCUACCCUCAUAAAUAGUUUUCUUCAUGUUUUCUGUGCUUGUUUACUGUAAUGAAUAAAACAUUACAAUUGCUAUUUGGAAUAGAAAGCACCGUGGUUCUUGAAAAUGGUAAAGGUAUGCUGGCUGUAGUUUAGGGCACUAAGGCUGUUAUUUGUAGAAUAAAACUCAUUAUCACUACUCAAAUAUUGAACAAGAAUAGUUUGUAUUCAAAGAUAAAGGUGCCACAGGGGGCUACUGAUAUAGGAAAUAUGGCUGGAGAGAUAUGGGAUGCAUAUUAAAAUUUAUAUACUGAAAAUAAAAAAUGUAUUUAUCAGGUAUAUUUAAUAUUCCAGGAGCAUCAACUACAAUUGUUCAAGUUCUAUUUGCUGACAUUUCAAUUAUAACCUAUUUUCAGCGCCUUCGGUUCUGCAGGCCCCAAAGUCACAUACUUCAUGAGGCCUCAGUCGGCAAGUGAUUUUUUGGGUAGUGUGCAGCACACCGAAACUUUCAGGGAAAAGACCAAAAGGCAAAUCUGAGUAUUUUUUCCACCCAGGACCACCAAAUUUUGAAAUGACUAUAGGAGUGAAGCUGACAGGUUAGAGGUUUGCCAUGGUUAGAUAAAUAAGUGUGCAGGAGAUAAGUCCAAUAAUAAGACUGGAAAUCAAACUCAAGGGUUUCCACUCCAGAGCCUCUGCUCUCAACUGGUAUAGUUUAUUGCCUAUUCAUUAUGAUAAGUGGAGAGAAAUACUUUUGUUUUUUGGUCUUUUAGGGCUGCACCUGCUGCAUAUGGAGGUUCCCAGGCUAGGGGUCCAAUCAGAGCCAUAGCUGCCGGCCUACACCACAGCCACAGCCACAGCCACAGCCACAAUGGAUCUGAGCCGCAUCUGUGAACCACACCACAGCUCACAGCAAUGCCAGAUCCUUAACCCACUGAGCAAGGCCAGGGAUUGAAACCGCAUCUCAUGGAUGCUAGUCAGGUUUGUUAACCACUGAGCCAUGACAGGAACUCCAGAAAUACUUUUAUAUGCAAUAAUUUAGAGGAUUGGUAUAGUAUAUAAUAUACAUAUAUUAUCAUUUUAUACACCUAUAAUUUUAAAACGAGGCUAGAAAAUGUUUAUCGUAUAAUCUAAUCCGGGUAUCACAAACAGACCCCCAUCUAACUUACUGCUACUGUAACCCUCAAUGCAAUGACAAUUUGUAUGUGUAAUUCUUUGUGCAGUUUCUGAAGUCCCCAACAGAUUUAUGUUCAGUGGGUACAGAGGCUUUCUAAGCUUACUGAAGUUAUUGAGCUUCUGUAGGACCCUGUUUUCUCAAAUGUCAAACAGAAAUAACAGCCAUGCCUAUGUCACGUAAUAGCUAUAACAACUACUUCAAUGAAAUAGCGCAAGUUAAGCACUUAGCAUGGUGUCCAGCACAGGAAGUACUCAGUAAAUAUUAGGUAUUAUCACUGUUGUGGUUAAUAAUCUCAUCCACCUUUGUAUCUUUGCAACUUAUACAGGGUUGGACCCAUGAGAGGUGCUCAGUAAAAAAUAAUUAAAUUAAUGAGUACUUUUUUCAAGCCCCCCUACAUACAUACAUACACACCCUUCCUCUUCACAGGCAUUGCCAUCUCUCAAACGUGAUUUUGUUUCCUCUACUUGAAACACAACUGCCCACUCAAACUUUCAUCUGGCUAACUCCUACUGUUCACCUAAAUUUUGGUUCCCAUUCUUUUCUUCUGGGAAGUGUUUUCUUAAAAAACUGUGAGCUUACUAAGUCCUGUUUACACUUUUUCAUGGGCUUGCUCCCUGUCCCUAGCAAGCCCAACGAAAGCACUUAACCCCAAUCUUGAUGUUUCUGCCUUGCCUUAAUAUCCCGUUAGACUGCAAAGGCAGACACUACCUUUUUACCACUGUAAAGGUAUAGAACAUAAGAGAUGUUCAAUAAGCCUUUGUUAAAUAAGGGAACACAUACGUAUUUCUACCCGACUAACCUUUCCAUGAUUCUCACCCUCCUCACCAAACAUCAUACUAGACUUAUUAGGAUGUGGUUCCAUUUCAGAAAUGAACAAAACGAACAAGGACAGAUAAGCCAUCUUUUUAAAUGGACCAAAAAACCUCAGACAAGUUACUCCCCAAAGAUGGCCAAGUGGCCAUUAACAUAUGAAAUGUAUGCACCCUCCAUUAAUCAUUAGGAAAAUGUAAAUUAAAGCUACCACUAAGACAUCAAUACACAGCACAUCAAAACAGCAAAAAGAGUGAGAAGAUACAAAUAAUUGUGAGAUAUGGGGUAUCUGGAACUUUCAUACACUGUUGAUAAGUGUCUAAAUUGGUAUAAUCAGUUAAGAAAACUAUUUGGCAGUAUCUAUUAAAAUGAAAAUACAUUCCUAAAGACUCAGCAAUUCCACUUCCAGUAAUUUGCUAUGCAGAAAUAUGUACAUACACGUGCCAAAAGGCACUCACAAGAAGAUUCAAAGAAGUGUAUUCCUAACAGAUGAAAACUGGCAACACCCGAAAUGUCCAUCAGUGGUAAGAUGGAUGAAUAAAUCAGUAGAAGCUUCCUGGUAAAUUUCUAUAGUGGAAUAUUAUGUAGCAAUGAAAAAAGAACAAUAGGGAUGAAUUUCAAAACAUAAUGUUGAGACAAAUACUGUGUGAUGUCACUCACUUGUGGAAUCUAAAAAACAUAACAAACUGGUAAAGAUUAAAAAAGACAGACUCAGAAAAGAAAACAAAUUAGUCGGGAGGAGGAAAGGAAGAAGAGUAAGUAGGGGAGUAAGAGGUACAAACUGUUAGGUAUAAAAUAAGCUACAAGGAAAUAUUGCACAACACCAGGAAGACAGCCAGUAUUUUACAAUAACUGCCAAUGGAAUAUGAUCUUUAAAAAUUGCGGGAGUUCCCAUCGUGGCUAAGUGGUUAACGAACCCGACUAGCAUCCAUGAGGAUGCGGGCUCGAUCCCUGGCCUCGCUCAUUGGGUUAAGAAUCUAGCAUUGCCGUGAGCUGUGGUGUAGGUUGAAGACAUGGCUCAGAUCCUGCGUUGCUAUGGCUCUGGCACAGGCUGGCAGCAACAGAUCUGAUUGGACCCCUAGCCUGGGAACCUACGUAUGCUGUGGAUGUGGCCCUAAAAAUAAAUAAAUAAAUAAAAGACAAAAAAUAAAAAAUAAAAAUAAAAAUUGUGGAUCACUAUAUUAUACACCUGUAACUUAUACAAUAUCGUACAUCAACUAUACUUCAAUUUAAAAAAUAUUCUGGAGUUCCUGUCGUGGCACAGUUUCCAACCCAACUAAUAGCCAUGAGUUUGCAGGUUUGAUCCCUGGCCCUGCUCAGUGGGUUAUGGAUCUGGCACUGCCAUGAGCUGCGCUGUAAGUCGCAGGCACUGUGUUGUUGUGGCUGUCACAGGCUGGCCGCUACAGCUCUGAUUCAAUCCCCCGAGCCUGGGAACUUCCAUAUGCCGCAGAUGUGGCCCUAAAAAGUAUGUCUGAAAAGAGACUCCAAGAUCCAAGAGUUUAUCACCACGUGUGCAAUGAAACCCCUUCCAACUGCCAGCCUUUGAAAUACCAAGUUGCCUAUGGCUUAUAACUUUCAAAUCCAUAUUGCUGUCCAUUACAGCAAUGCUCCUAAAAAUUCAUAAGAGAAUUCAAAAAAUUUCCAAUAGAUACACUCUCAUAUACUGCGUUAUAAUGAAGGAUCACAUUCUCAUCAGGUAGGCAUUAUAGAGGAAAUGAGCUUUGUAAAAUUAAACACCUCUAACAAGCACAUACUCAAUCAUAUUUCAGGGAAAACACUUCCUGAUUUCCAGCUGGACACCCUAACAUAUACUCACCAAAAUAGUAAACUUUCCAGAGUUCCCGCUAUGGCAUGGUAGGGUAAGAAUCUGACUAGAAGAGCUCAGGGUGCCAUGGAGACAGGGGUGUAAUCCCCUGCCUGGUGCUGUGGGUUAAAGGAUCUGAUGUGACUGUACCUGCGGAAUAGGUUUCAGCUGUGGCCUGGAUUCAGUCCCUGAGCCAGGAACUUCCAUAUGCCACAAGUGCGGCUAUAAAGAAAUUUUUAAAAACUAAAAAUAAAAUAAUACACUUUCCAUGACUUAGUACUUGGGUUAACCAUCCAAUGGUUUAUAUAUUAAUUGUGCUCACUAGCAACCGUACAGCUGUCUUGUUUCCAAUAACCAAAGAAAUCAAAGAGUAUGUGGGUCAUUUUGUCAUGCCUCGAAACUUCUUUGUGAUAUACUAAGAGCCCCAUGAUGGUAGCAGCAGUUUGACUCCUGCUAAGACAGAGCAAGAACUCAUGAUGGAUGCAUACAGUGCAAAAACUUUUUGAUCAUAAUGACUGUCCCAUAGAUAAAAACUAGUUUGGUCCCCUGAUAGAUAUCAUCUUUUUCGGCCUUCGGUAUCCUAGAAAAUAACUGGUAAUGCAAACAAGUUAGUAUUGAUCAUGUAAACACUAUUUUAAAGGAGAUGGGAAAAAUCAUUUAUGUUAGCC
rnacentral:lncRNA from 1 species